rnacentral:lncRNA from 1 species
AUAGGACAACUAAGGAUCUUUUGCUUCAAAAACAUGUGGAAUCUUCAUCCUGCGUUUGAUGACCUAAUCAGGACUUAGUGGAGUUUUACUCCGUUUGCAGUAGAUGCAGCUGAAAACCUGAAUCUGAAGUUGCGCUUUAUGAGAUCCAAACUUAAGCAAUAGAGCAAAUGCCAAUUUGGAAGUCUACAUCUGAAGAGAAAAAAAGAUCCUUGUCCAAGUCGAGGCCUUGGAUGCUAUCAAAGAAGAGAGAUGCUUGUCUGCAAUG